UGGAUUGAAGCAAGGCCAGGCUGUGGUUAGCAUUCCCCUAGAUAAGAAUGGAAGAGGUCCUAGUGGCCUUCCACCACACAUACAGUUAAGGCAUUCUCACCUCUGUGGCAUCUAACCAUUUGCAAAU
rnacentral:ncRNA from 1 species